GGCGGUAUGCCAAACACAUGCAAGUCGAACGGUAACAGGCCUUCGGGCGCUGACGAGUGGCGGACGGGUGAGUAACGCGUAGGAAUCUGCCUCAUAGUGGGGGACAACGUGGGGAAACUCACGCUAAUACCGCAUACGCCCUACGGGGGAAAGGAGGGGAUCUUCGGACCUUUCGCUAUGAGAUGAGCCUGCGUUAGAUUAGCUAGUUGGUAGGGUAAAGGCCUACCAAGGCGACGAUCUAUAGCUGGUCUGAGAGGACGAUCAGCCACACUGGGACUGAGACACGGCCCAGACUCCUACGGGAGGCAGCAGUGGGGAAUAUUGGACAAUGGGCGAAAGCCUGAUCCAGCAAUACCGCGUGUGUGAAGAAGGCCUUAGGGUUGUAAAGCACUUUCAAUUGGGAGGAAAACCUGCCGGCCAAUACCCGGUAGCUUGACAUUACCUUUAGAAGAAGCACCGGCUAACUCCGUGCCAGCAGCCGCGGUAAUACGGAGGGUGCGAGCGUUAAUCGGAAUUACUGGGCGUAAAGCGUGCGUAGGCGGUUCGUUAAGUCAGAUGUGAAAGCCCUGGGCUCAACCUGGGAACUGCAUUUGAAACUGGCGGACUAGAGUUUAGUAGAGGGGAGUGGAAUUUCAGGUGUAGCGGUGAAAUGCGUAGAUAUCUGAAGGAACACCAGUGGCGAAGGCGACUCCCUGGACUAGAACUGACGCUGAGGUACGAAAGCGUGGGUAGCAAACAGGAUUAGAUACC
rnacentral:rRNA from 1 species